UCCCUAGGCCAGUCUAUGGCACCAUUUUCAAUUCUAGUAUGGGAAACUGUUCUACGUUUUAGGUUCUUUUGUGUCGUUCUUUUUUUUUUUUUUUGUUCAUGGGCAUGUGGACUAUUUUGUUAUAAUUUCAUGGCUUUGAGCUGUGGUGCAAUAAAUCUUGUAUGUGUUGUAACAGAUACCAGCAGUGGAAGUGCAGAGAGGAGAAGAAUUCCCAGAAGUAAAAGUGGAGUAUCAGGAGCAUUUGAUGUCAUCUUGGAGCUUCUGGUUCGUGCCAGCAGAAGUCUGCCCGAAGCUAUCACGUGGAAGGGGACCUUACUGAAACAGUUCAUGUGGAAGGCUAUGUGGCAGUUUGUUUGUUUUGGAAACUUUAAAUAGACCAUUAAUUGUUUUGUUGGUAUUGUGUUGAUUGUUGUCUUGAUGGAUGUUAAAUGGGUGAAACAUGCACAGGUUCAAUCA